rnacentral:lncRNA from 1 species
UAGCAAAGGAAUAGGAACAGUUGUUUACCUGCAUCAGGACUCAUUUGAGUGGUUAGUGGACAGAAGACAUUUAACCAUUUCGUGAAUAUACAUUAUUGACGUCUGUUUAGCACAUAUAACAAUUUUGAUGUAAAAUGUUCCCAAUCAUGGUAAAAGGGAAACUACUCUCACGAUUCAUAAAUGGUUCCAGAUCAGUGGGCAAGGUAAAAGCAAUAUCCACAGCCUGUUCAUCUCCCGAAUAAUGACUAAUAACAAGAACUAAUAACAACAUGGAGCACUCCCCACGAAUCCAUGACAAUUCUGGGGCCAUGACAAAAACCGUCCUAGCGAAAAGCAAGCGCUCCAAGUGGAGGCAAAAACACGGUUCUCUCACAUUCCAUUGCGUAGCAAGGGGGAUUUGGGGAGUCUUAUUUCCUUAUAACUUUGCUCCCAUCCACAGAGCGCCCGCUUCGAUCAAGUUGAUAUACCAAAAUUCAGCCAGGAUAGGGAAGACGAGGCAGACUAACCAAAAAUUUGGGCCUCAUAUAUUAUUGCCAGAGUAAUAAUAAUUCCUGGUGGCUUAUUUUUUUAUUUUUUUAAAUUAAUAGAUUUAAAUAUCCAGCCAUGUUAACACAUGAUGUCGUGGUUGGAACACAUCAGAGAGAAGACCAUCCCUGCAGGAGUUGGGUGAUAUCCGACUUAAAUUAGUGGAUGCAUUUUUACAGCAACCUUGACAUGACUGGAGAACUCAGUGGACCACAUGCACUUCAGGAGAAAAUCAAGGCAGACUGUUUUUCUCUCUCAAAGACUUUGAUGAACGGAAAUCGUAGUGGAACACGCCCUCUAGAUUUGUUUUCUACCAAACUUCAGUUCCGGACUCAUCAUAUCUGCAUCUCAACUGCAUCUCAACUGGAGCAAAGUUUUCAACGUGUGAUCUAAUUUAUGACCGGGAUUUCUUCAGUCUACAGCCGCUCUCUGUCCAUGAGGGAUGGCGCAUGACAAGGGCUUCUGCAACAAACACAUGGAUUACAUUUACUACACUCUCCUCCAGACCAUCAAUAAGUCAAGACCCGUUGGAAAUCCAACAAGGACAAAUAAUACAAAGAUAAAAAUACCUCUCUACCACCCCCAAGAUGAAGCCAGACUGAUACUGUGCUUAUGUUCAUUAGCUCACUGUAAAAUAAGCUGUGGCGUGCCACAGGCAAGUGUGCUUGGGCUUCUGUUAUUCCUGCUGUACAUUAAAGAUAUCAAGGAUGCUUGCUCAAUGUCACCCGUGUCUUUAUGCAGAUGACUCUGCACUCCUGGUGUUUCACAUAAACCAAACCACUCUGGAGAGUAUACUGAGUGCAGAGCUCACUAACAUCAACAAGCUGUCUCCGCACCUCGGCAAAACAGAAGGAAUUCUGUUUGGGUCCAAAAUGAAACUAAGCGAGUCCUCAGACAUCAGGGUACAGCUAGCAGAACAGGUACUCACAGCCAGAACAGCAGUUCAUUACUUAGGAUGUACACUAGAUGGCAACCUGGCAGGGGAGGAGUAUGGCUACUAAGGUACUAGGUAAAGUGCUAGUGUUAAAGGACAUCACGCUGCUUUACACUGCUAGAGUAAGGGACAUCACGCUGCUUGCUUAGUGUCGCGAGUGCCACUUCCUCCUGAUUCGGCUCACACCGAGGCUUGAACCCAGGACCUGAAGCGUCUUACCAGUCGGUGACACGGAAAAGCUAGCUAUUCGUUGGUGCAAGUGGGGAAUCUUCAGGCUGAGGAGUAUGUGCUACACCAGGACCAAAUUCUUGGCUAUGUAGUCUAAGCUGUUGGAAAAAGAUUCAAAGAAAGUGCUAGUGUGCUCAUCCAAUGUCCUUUUUGAUGCUAGCACCUCCUGGUUUGAAGGCUUAAUAAUCUACUAAAAAGCAAGCUCAGGAUAUCCCAGAACAAGUUGAAUCUGAGCCCACCUACAGUACUCGUAUUGGUACCAGACAGUUUCAGGAGCUCAACUGGCUGCCCUCUAAGUCAAGGGUCACACAGACCAGACUUAGUCAGGUUCAUAGGAUCAUUCAUGAAGCAGCUCCUAGGCAUUUUGUCUCACUUCCUUCCCCAUUUUAGAGACUCAUACAAACCCAACAAUAGAGCUAGCUAACGUGUUGUGUGUAGAAGCCUGGCAGGGAAAGGUACUUUUUUAUAUUCAGGAGCCUCUGAGUGGAAUAGUCUGUUAAAACUAUUCCUACUCUGAGUAGCUUAAAAAGGAAGGUGAAAUGCUGGUUAAUGGAUAGGGUGCCUCUGUGAGCAAUCCAUCCUAGCCCAAUGAUGAUGUCCAAGUAGCCUUCUUUUGUCUAUAGUGUGUGUAUGUUGUUGUGCUCUCAUAUGACUAAGUAACCAUAUUGACCUGCCAUUUUAGCUUCUGUUUUUUUAUUUUGCCACAUAUGCCAUAUUUGACAAAUGCUAUCUUGAAAGAGGACCACAAUUGAAAUAGGUUGUAGACUUUUUUGUGUUUAUCUUCAACGAUUCUUAAUCAUGUGCAUCAAUUUGAACAUGUACUUUGUUUUUUAAAUAUCCAAUAAACAUAAUAAUAAAAAAGAACAGCAAUGCCUCAAGAUUAGCAUUGAAUGUAACUUAUGAAUAUUAUGAUUUUUAAAAUGAAUGUAUGUAAUAUCAAGAUGUAUCGUUGAUAUUACAUGUAUUUGAUUUAAAUCAUGUCCCUUGCAUUUAAAGUCAGUGUUUGUGUUUUUCACCAAGCGAUGAGCCAGCCCCAGCAGUGUGGAAAUAAAGAUAUCUAUGUUGAUGUAACUGUCAAGCAGCCUCUUUCUCUGCUCCCAGACAUCCUGUGGACCUGGG